rnacentral:rRNA from 1 species
UAAUACGAAGGGGACUAGCGUUGUUCGGAUUUACUGGGCGUAAAGCGCGCGUAGGCGGAUCACUAAGUCAGGGGUGAAAUCCCGAGGCUUAACCUCGGAACUGCCUUUGAUACUGGUGAUCUGGAGAUCGGGAGAGGUUGGUGGAAUUCCGAGUGUAGAGGUGAAAUUCGUAGAUAUUCGGAGGAACACCAGAAGCGAAGGCGGCCAACUGGCCCGAUACUGACGCUGAGGCGCGAAAGCGUGGGGAGCAAACAGGAUUAGAUACCCUGGUAGUCCACGCUGUAAACGAUGGGCACUAGGUGUCCGGGGUAUUGACCCCCUGGGUGCCGCAGCUAACGCAUUAAGUGCCCCGCCUGGGGAGUACGGUCGCAAGAUUA